UACGGAGGAUUCAAGCGUUAUCCGGAUUUAUUGGGUUUAAAGGGUGCGUAGGCGGUCGGAUAAGUUAGAGGUGAAAUACCGGGGCUUAACUCCGGAACUGCCUCUAAUACUGUCAGGCUAGAGAGUAGUUGCGGUAGGCGGAAUGUGUGGUGUAGCGGUGAAAUGCUUAGAGAUCACACAGAACACCGAUUGCGAAAGCAGCUUACCAAACUAUAUCUGACGUUGAGGCACGAAAGCGUGGGGAGCAAACAGG
rnacentral:rRNA from 1 species